UAUGGCAAAAAUUGUCUCUUCCUUAUUUCUAUGUCUCUUCCUUAUUUCUAUGCAGUUAUUAUACGAGUUAUGACUUAUGUUCUGCAAUUAAUAUCUUAUGAUUUGUCUUACUGUAUGCAUUUGACAUUUCACCUAGAUUGUUCAAUGGUUGUCUCUGCCUGAUAGACUCUCAACUCUAGCUCCCAAACCCAAGGUCGGGGAGUUGUGUCUCUGUCUGUUGAGACUUGGUGCUCCUUUCUCACAGAUAGUUGGACGUCAGCGAUGCAGGUGUGAGAAAGUAAAAAUCUUCACACACACUGCGACAGGGAGGAGAUGGUGCAUGUAAUUUGAUUGGGUUGGAAAGACAUUCCACCCUAGUCGGACAGAGAAGCUAAAAGGCAGAAGCAACUUGAGGAUCGUGGGCUCUUUGCAUCACACCUUCGUGGUGUGUGCACUGAUCUCCCCAGCUGGUUUUUGGUUUGUUGAUGUGCACGAUCAACAUCCAUGCUUUUUAUUUGCUUUCCCCAUUAUUUUUAUUUUCUUUAUUAUUUCAAUAAAUCGCACAAAAGGACAACUCUCUCUCAUCUACUUCUUUAUGGAAAAUUUCCACCACAGAAAUUGGCGUUGUCGGCAGGAUCCCGCGGCAGGUCGUCUGGACGGUGUGACCAGGGACGAUAGUCCUGAGGACUAGGGUCGCUCAGCCUCCAAACCUCUACAGACAUUCAGAGCUGGGAGGACUGCUCACCCGUCUGGAUCGCCUCUGACGAGAUCCACGAACUCAGAUUCAAACUCAAAUCCUAAUUUGGCUCGGCUCGGUGAGAGAGAUUCCUUUUAAUUUGGGAAAAAACAUAAAAGAAAACAUAACUAGGACUAGAGAUAAUAAUAUUUCUAAAACGACUAUGUGGCUGAAAAACAUCUAAAAUAUAAUAAUUAGGACCAAACAAUUUUUUUUAAUUAAAAAAUUUAAUAUUCGGGUAAAAUGAAUUAGGUCAAAGUCUGCCCUGGUGGUCGAGACGGUGGUUGCUAAGGGUUGGCUCGUGGGACCGAGCUUGUUUUGUCUGUACUGAGGAUACAGACCAGUGUGCAGAUCUGAGCGCAGUCCAAAGGGUGUGGACAAGGAAAUAAAAGACGGCUUCUGAAAUACGGAGCGCGUUUGCAGGGGGGAGUGGUUUUGAGAUACGAGGGACCCGGGUCUUAGAGGGGCCUGACGGUGAGGGACCACUUCCGAGAACCCUGUCGCUGAUCUGAGCGGUUCCUUUUCUACGGAGACGUCCGUGGAAGAGAAAUUUCGAAAAAAGGUUCCGGCCGGAACACAUAAAAAUCUAAGGCAGGAAACCGCCGGGACUCUGAAAGAUGGGUUCGGGGCGAUCUAAGUCUCCACCACCAGACUGCAGCAUUACAAAAUUAAAAGUAAUUAUAAAAGUAAAAAGUAAAUAUGGUUAUUAGUGCGUUUCAUGUUUCCAUGAGUGGGAAACUGGUUAUGGGUUCAAAAGGAGAAUCGCUUUGUGUAAGGACAUAUGCACCUUAAAAGAAAAAUUAGAGACAAAAGAAAAUACUUGAAAAAGCAAAACUAUCAAAACUAAAGCCCUAAAAGAAACAAAAGAUGAAAGUAACGGAAAGAAAGGAGAUAACAACUCUGGGGAAGAAUUGUUUGCACUCUGCCACAGACACACAUACACCACACACACACGUCAUGUCAAGAGCAAAUGCUCCCAUUGUUUCUGCUCUCUAUUCUAAUGCAGAACUGAGCGGGAUGAGGGUAAAUCCGGAUCUGGACUCCUUUCCCACCAUCAGCAGAAGAACCGAAGGAGAAGAAGCGCCGACCAACAACCAGAACAGGGUGGAAGCUCUGACACCACAGCAGCUGGAGGACACAGACCACAGCAUGGACGCCUCACUGACCCCACAACGUCUGCAGCCAUCACGUUCUGGGCUCGUCAGAUGAACCAGCUACUACAAGCGUGUGUGUCUGACAGACACCUGCUUAUGACAAUCAGCAAAGGAAAACAAGGACAGAGCAACAGCAGGGAAAACGUGCUCUGACACAGACACUGGUUGAAACAACAGGAGAGGCUUCAGACGUGAUCGGCCCAAUAGAGCUGCAUCCAAGCAUCCAGGAAAGGUCUGUCAUCGAGGAACAACUGUCCCAUUGAAAGGCUUCACCCGCUGGCGCUCACAUCAGACUGAUGGUUGGGGAAGGAGGAAGGUGACGGUUCCUUUUCACGUGAUGUACAAGACGGUACCGCAAAAACACACACACAUUCAUACACGCAAUGAAGAAACACGCUUACAGCUGAUACACGCUCAAAUUCAUGUUCAUGCUUAUCUGCUCGCAAUGAAGAAUCGCUUUUUGCUUAAAAAAAUCCCACAGAGUGAUUUUAAAAUGAUGACAAACAGCUAAAUGACAAUUGCUGCAUGACUUUACAGUCUGAUGGGUUCAAACUAUUUUAACUUGCAACAAAUUCAGUAAUAAAAUCCUCUAUGUUUCUAAAAGGGUUUGUGCACAAUAUAGGUUUGUCUGGCCAGACUAGAAGACUAUAGGAAACAAAACAGACUGUAGAAAAAGAAACAAAAAAACAGACUAUAGGAAGACUGAGACUGACUGAAACAGACUAUUAAUGACUAUUAAAGGGAAGACGACUAUUAGAGAGAAGUAAUAAUAAUUACUGUACGUACCAGACUAUUAAAGAAAAACUAAUUCUUUCACUGUCUUGUGCAACAUCUGUCAGCAAGACACCUUAACAUUCAUCUUUGCUUUCAAACUUGUGCCCAGUUAAAUUUUUAGGAAGAGAUCUCAUGUAGUUUAGAUAUUUGAUUGAUUUCCACUCCAGACGGAGUGCAGGUUACAUCUACAGACAUUCUAAAUAAUCCCUCUUUUGUUGGUGUUAACUUCAGCUCAGCUGUGCUCUUAUCAUUAGCUGCUGGGGGGGGACUGUAACUGAGGCCCUCACACAGGCUGCAUCACAGCUUGUUUAUGAUUUCACACACACACACACUGACAAACUGGCCUAAACUUCCCUCUUUUGGGAUGAACACAGGUCUGCGCUUGCGAUUUCUUUUACUAACGAACAAAAAGAUUUUUGAUUUUUAUUCUACAGUUCCACACGUCCCUCUGUGAAAACAUGAUGGAGACAGAUGCAGGACGUGGGUCCUUUCGUGAUCAGAUGUCAACGGGGUGGAGACUGGUGAACGACUUCUGACCCCAUGUGACGUAUUUACCCACAUUACAUGCUUUUGUUUUUAUUUUUAUUUUUCAGAGGACGCUGUGAGCCAACACUCAGCCUUACAGGAAGCCCUGUUUCCCUGUGGCUCACACACAGACAUGAUGUAGGUUCAAUCAGAGGAUGUGAACCAGUGGUCAUCACACCUAAAUCUGACCACAGACCAUGUGAACAACAACACCCUCUUAAAGGAAGCCAUAGAUGGUGUUACUGCAGACACCACUAAGCUACUGAAACAUUGGAUGCUACAGGCCACAAAGAGAGCCUGUCUAAAUUACACUUUGUUCAGACAAAGGUUAUUUUCUGGGUCAUUGUAAUUACAGCUGAUGGCAAAUCCAUCUCACCCAACAGAUUUGAAGCAAUUUGAAACCUGCCUAAACCGUGCACGUAUAAACAGCUGAUGUCUUUUCUAGGUUUUUGUUCUUAUUGUAGGACUUUCGUUCCUAACUUAAAUGUCUUUGAGGCCCCACUCAGGGUUCUGAUGCAGACGUCUUCAUCGUCCACUUCUUGUCUCACGUGGACGUCUGAGGCUGAACAACGUUCACUGACCUCAAGCUUGCUCUUCAGUCGGCUCCUACCUUGGGUCUUCCUGAUCUGACCCUACGCGACCUUUCACUCAAACAGUGGAUGAGAAAUCAGGUUGUACGACUUCUGUUCUUUUGUCCUCAUACUGUCUUUGAUUCUUUUGGAAUAGAUCACAUCUUUCUACAGCCAGAUGGCUUAGAUACAACACCACCUUGCUCAACAUGCUGAAAAUUACUAUCAAGAGUCCGUCGUGAAGUCUGGCGCUUUGCAAAGACACUGCUCUGCUCAGGCUGCAGAGUUGAUCGUAUUGACUGAAGCUAGUAAACUAGCAGAAGGAGAGACUGUUACCAUCUACAGACUCCACAGAUGCUUGUCACACGUUGGUUCUCCUUGGAAGCAUGGGAAGCUUUGAAGUCUGAUUGCAAACCUAUCUUACAUCAUGAUACGGUUCUGCUUUGCUGGACGCUGUCCUGCUGCCUACAGCUAAUGCUGUUUGUAACUGUCCAACAUCAGUGACGACUUUGUUUCUGCCGACAUGCAGCUGCAGACGCCGCUGCGAAGGUCGCUGCCCAACAACCCCUCCCUCUCCUGAUCCUCGUUUCCUCUUGUUCCCUCUCCAACUCUCUCUAUCCUUUCCUUCCUCAUCUCCCUGUGCUUUAAACAUUUUCUACCUCACAGGAACGCAGACUCUGGCUGACGCAUGGUUCCACCUGUAGCCAUGGAGUCUGGUUUGGGCCUGAUGGCAGCCGUGCCGCCCAAACACCUUUUUCCCCACAAUUCAGAUUUCCCAACAGGUGAAAGCAGGCGACAGGACCAUUACACCAUCCAACCAGGGGACUGGGCGAUUGUUAAGGACUUCAGGAGGAAGCAUUGGGACUCCAAACGAUGGCGAGGCCCCUUCCAGGUCCUUCUGACGACCCACACGGCUGAAAGAUCGCAGUGAGAGUGACUUGGAUCCACUCCAUCCACUGCAGGAAGGUCCCAGAUCCAACAGACGACCCUCCAUCUACAUCUACACCACACGAGAAAGCCACCACUGACGAAAAGAACUGAGAAGGACGACCCUCGCUGUGCUCACACACGCACUGAGGCGAGGCUGCGUUGACCGUUCAGCUAAAGGUGUGAGCCAAGCGCCGCCUAAAGCUGCACCGGUGAAUCACACUAUCAGACCAUACAUCUACACACACGCUCCUGAGAAAACACACACACGAGCAGCCUUGAGUUGCCAACGCUGGACGACGUGUAGACUCUUCACAUCACGGGAGUGACAGUGACUCAGACGACAUUGGGAGGAAACCUGGCGGUGAUAACGAACCCCAAGUGUCUCUGUGAUCAGCUGAUCACAACCUGAAGAACCCCAACGAACUGUCAAUACUUCAACACACAGAUGAAAGACAACAGAAGCGGAAAUAUGCAUCAUCAUUCUGGUUAAAUCCCUGAAUCUCCUAUUCGCUCUAGACGCAAAUGUACAAUUAAAGAUCCGAAAGCAUUAAAUCUAUCUUAAGAAUAUAUGAAACAGAACCCCACCGGAAACGUAUGGCUAUCAUACAUUAAUGGUCUUUAUUACAUUACAAUUGAAUGGCCGUAGACACGUUGUUAGCAGAGAAAAGAGGCGUUUGUGUUAUGUUUGGAGAGGCAUGUUGUACUUACAUCCUGAAUAACACUGAUUCUAAUGGUAUUGUGGCGAAGGCGCUACACGGCCUUCAGAAUCUCAGCUAACUCUGGUAUAGAUUCUUCCUCUUGGAAUUGGCUAGACGAAAUGUCUGGAAAAUGGAAAUCUGUUCUCAUGUCCACAGCUGUUUCCUUUAUAAUUGAGAUGGCUGUGAUUCUCUUGUUUGGUUUUUGCGUUAUCCCACUGGUUAGAGGUCUCAUCAUGCGUGCGACCUCAGCAACACUCUCGUAUGAGAUGACACAAUGCACUAUGUUCAAAAACCCCAACUCUAAUUUACUUAAUGACUUUGACAAUGAUCUUAGGCUAUCUAAUCACAAAAUAUAAUCUGAUACAAAUAUGAUUAUGAGCUUAUUUUCUUCACAUGCCAAUACAGAGGUUAUUCUUGUAUAACUACCCAAAAACAGCUCCCAACCUUUUGUCCCUUAGUUACUUCCAUUUUAUGUGAAGGUGUAUUUUGAAUCUUGAUGAGUUAAUACCCUUAUUGUUUCAUUUGCAAGGAUCUUUUAUUAUUACAGAAUGUGAUGUUGACAAUUUUUCUUCUUAGUGGUUGAUUAAUGUGUAAUCAAAAGGGGGGAGUGUUAUGGCAAAAAUUGUCUCUUCCUUAUUUCUAUGUCUCUUCCUUAUUUCUAUGCAGUUAUUAUACGAGUUAUGACUUAUGUUCUGCAAUUAAUAUCUUAUGUUUUGUCUUACUGUAUGCAUUUGACAUUUCACCUAGAUUGUUCAAUGGUUGUCUCUGCCUGAUAGACUCUCAACUCUAGCUCCCAAACCCAAGGUCGGGGAGUUGUGUCUCUGUAUGUUGAGACUUGGUGCUCCUUUCUCACAGAUAGUUGGACGUCAGCGAUGCAGGUGUGAGAAAGUAAAAAUCUUCACACACACUGCGACAGGGAGGAGAUGGUGCAUGUAAUUUGAUUGGGUUGGAAAGACAUUCCACCCUAGUCGGACAGAGAAGCUAAAAGGCAGAAGCAACUUGAGGAUCGUGGGCUCUUUGCAUCACACCUUCGUGGUGUGUGCACUGAUCUCCCCAGCUGGUUUUUGGUUUGUUGAUGUGCACGAUCAACAUCCAUGCUUUUUAUUUGCUUUCCCCAUUAUUUUUAUUUUCUUUAUUAUUUCAAUAAAUUGCACAAAAGGACAA